rnacentral:rRNA from 1 species
ACGUAGGUGGCGAGCGUUAUUCGGAAUUACUAGGCGUAAAGCGAGUGUAGGCGGAUGCUUAAGUCCGUAGUGAAAUCUCCCGGCUCAACCGGGAGGGGUCUGCGGAUACUGGGCGUCUUGAAUUGGGUAGGGGGGAUCAGAAUUCCCGGUGUAGCGGUGAAAUGCGCAGAUAUCGGGAAGAAUACCGGUGGCGAAGGCGGAUCCCUGGACCUGGAUUGACGCUGAGACUCGAAAGCUAGGGGAGCAAACAGGA